rnacentral:tRNA from 1 species
CUCAACAUGGUGUAGUGGUUUGAGCAUUGGACUAGGACUCUGGAGACCAGGGUUCAAAUCCCGGUUCAGCCA